CCCUUAGAUGUUCUGGGCCGCACGCGCGCUACACUGAUGCAUUCAACGAGUGUACCUUGGCCGAGAGGCCUGGGCAAUCUUUUGAACGUGCAUCGUGAUAGGGAUAGAUUAUUGCAAUUAUUAAUCUUGAACGAGGAAUUCCUAGUAAACGCAGAUCAUCAAUCUGCAUUGAUUACGUCCCUGCCCUUUGUACACACCGCCCGUCGCACCCACCGAUUGGAUGGUCCGGUGAAGCCUCGGGAUUGUGGCGGUUGCCUUUAUUGGUGUCCGCCGCGAGAACUUGUCUAAACCUUAUCAUCUAGAGGAAGGUGAAGUCGUAACA
rnacentral:rRNA from 1 species